CCUACGGGAGGCAGCAGUGGGGAAUAUUGGACAAUGGGCGAAAGCCUGAUCCAGCAAUGCCGCGUGAGUGAUGAAGGCCUUAGGGUUGUAAAGCUCUUUUACCAGGGAUGAUAAUGACAGUACCUGGAGAAUAAGCUCCGGCUAACUCCGUGCCAGCAGCCGCGGUAAUACGGAGGGAGCUAGCGUUGUUCGGAAUUACUGGGCGUAAAGCGUGCGUAGGCGGUUAUUCAAGUCAGAGGUGAAAGCCCGGGGCUCAACCCCGGAACGGCCUUUGAAACUAGAUAGCUAGAAUCUUGGAGAGGUUAGUGGAAUUCCGAGUGUAGAGGUGAAAUUCGUAGAUAUUCGGAAGAACACCAGUGGCGAAGGCGACUAACUGGACAAGCAUUGACGCUGAGGCACGAAAGCGUGGGGAGCAAACAGGAUUAGAUACCCUGGUAGUCCACGCCGUAAACGAUGAUAACUAGCUGUUCGGGCACUUGGUGCCCUGAGUGGCGCNGCUACGACAUUAAGUUAUUCCGUCCGUCGGGUAGGUACGGUCGCGAGAAUUAAACUACAAUAGAAGUUAGACGGCGUGAGACGUGCCGACGACGACGACGAGGGAGGUAGG
rnacentral:rRNA from 1 species